rnacentral:rRNA from 1 species
GACGAACGCUGGCGGCGUGCCUAAUACAUGCAAGUAGAACGCAGUUGCGAACGGGUGAGUAACGCGUAGGUAACUGCCUCAUAGCGGGGGGUAACUAAUGGAAACGAUAGCUAAUACCCCAUACUGGGAGAUGGACCUGCGUUGUAUUAGCUAGUUGGUGAGGUAAAGGGUCACCAAGGCGACGAUACAUAGCCGAGCUGGGAGGGUGAUCGGCCCCACUGGGACUUGGGCACGGCCCAGACUUCUACGGGGGGCAGCAGUAGGGAAUUUUUGGAAAUGGACGGAAGUCUGAACGCGCAAAGCCGCGUGAGUGAAGAAGGUUUUUGGAUCGUAAAGCUCUGUUGUUAGAGAAGCGUUAACUAACCAGAAAGGGACGGCUAACUACGUGCCAGCAGCCGCGGUAAUUC